AUGCAGGAGCCGGAUGUGGGACUUGAUCCCGAGUUCACAGGAUCACCACCCCAGCCAAAGGCAGAUGCUCAACCACUGGGCCAUCAAGGCAUCCCUGAAAAUACAUUUCUAAGAAAACUAACCAUGAAGUGUCUACCCAUCCAAAGAAAGGAUAAAGAAGGAAGGAGAAAAGAAGAAUCUAUCAACAGAAAGUACAGAAGGAAGAGGGGAAAAAGGGAGUGAGAAAAUCACACACUAAAAUUAAUGGUUAUACACAAGGACAAGGAUGUAGCUAACGGUAUAAUUAUCACCCUGUUCCCUUGAAAUUUGUACUCCCAAAACUCAUUAGCAAAAUUGUUUUGUGAGCCUCACUUGGAGAGGGAAGUAAACGGUGUUGGUUGGUUUAACAAAUAAGUAUUGAGCCCCUAGACUAGGUACAGUUUUAGUCCCAAACAGUACUUUCCAUUUAUGGACCUCUUAGGGAAAAUCUACAUGGUAUCCCACUUAGUUUCUAUCAGAACAAACAGCUACAUACAUUAGGAAAGAGAGUGUAUAUCAGCUGCACUGUCUUCUAGGUGGGAUUCAUUUAGGACAGUCCAAACAUCGGCUUUUUAGAAGAUAAUGGUUCAUGUUUCAACUGAUGAGUUUCAGCAUAAACAAUGUGUAUUCAUCAGUGUUCUUCACAGAACCAGAACCAGCAGGAAGAUAUGGUGUAUGAGAGAGAGUGAGAUUUGUUCUGAGGAAUCUAUUUAAUAUGAGCAGGACAUCCAGGAAAGCCCGUGGUAUAACUGGUCUGAAUCCGAAGGCCUGAGAAUUGGGGCAACCAGUGGUGUAAAUCUCAGUUUAAGAGCUAAGCUAGAGGAGAUGAGAUGUCCUAGUACAAUUAGUAAGGCAGGUGGAGGGUGGCGGGUGGGGGCGGGGAGGACAAAUUUCUCCUUCCUACACCUUUUGUCCUAUUUAGGCCCAGACUACCCUGCAGAGAGUAAUCUACUUUACUGAGUCCUCUGAUUUAAAUGCUAAUUUUACCCUGAAACUCCGUGACAGACAUACCUCAGAAACUACGUUUAGUCUGGGCACCCAGUGGCUAGCUAAGUUGAGAUAUAAAAUUAUUAUACACUGCACAAUAGCUUCUGAACCAACACGUAAACUAGUCUAUACCCUUCACUAGAAGGUAGACAACACAUUUAUUCUACUGUAUUUCAAGGUGCCAAUAUCCUUGAAACAACACCUUGAAUAUCACAGG
rnacentral:lncRNA from 12 species